GGGGAGGGAAAAGCUCCUAUUCAAAACACAAACAUGUCUGAUAACAGCAGGAGAUAGAGAAGACAAGAUCAGAGGUGCAUUCUGGGAUGUGCUGACCCAUCAUGCAGGAACCGCAUGGAUUCCUGGGAUGCCCUUGCUCAGCUGUCUGGUGCUGAUGAGCCUGACCGCCCCAAAGCAGUAGCCUGUCUGCACAUUUUCUGCAGCUGGGGCCAAUUCAUGAGCCUAAGAGAUGGUGCAUAAAGUAGCAGCGAAGCAGGAAGCAUUCACAGUCUGGAACAAGCACCCAUCAUAUUGCAAAUACCAUAGGUGACAGGAGAACAUCAGCUGCCUCCUUACGUUCUGUUUGGCUUCCUGGCCUGGAAAACUGAAAGAUGUCCUUAUAGUUGGACAUAGUCUGAUACACUAAGAUCUCU